rnacentral:lncRNA from 1 species
AUCACAUUCAAGGUAAUCAUAUAAGCACAAGACACACAUUGGAUAGUAGACAUGAGAAAUAAACUAUCAAACCAAACAAUGUGGUCAAGAGUAUUAGAUUAGAGAAAGACCGUAUUGUAAUCCCGAACUGAAUAGGUUCUCUAAACCUCUUCUGAUUAGCUUGGGUAGCCAUGAUAUGCUGCUAGGUGUCACUCAUGGUUUGUGGAAGCCCUAAACGUGUAUAAUCACUAAAGGGAGAAUUGAAAAUAGUUUCAAUUCACAAUCGAUGUAAAAUGGUUUUAAUCGCCCACUACCUCGCUAAAAGGAACCUAAUGGAUCGCACACCGUGAAAGGUGGAGAUUGGAGAUUAAACAGAAAUGAGUAAGAAUGAUUAAAUGGUUUAAUCAUUUAUUUAUGGCAAGGAUUAAUUAAUAUGUUAAUUAAUCAAA